rnacentral:rRNA from 1 species
AACGAACGCUGGCGGCGCGUCUUAAGCAUGCAAGUCGAACGGCAGUGGUAGCAAUACCAUGAGAGUGGCGAACGGGUGAGUAACACGUAGGUGAUCUACCCAGAGGUUGGGGAUAGUCCGUGGAAACACGGGUUAAUACCGAAUGUGGUCCAUUUGCCCUGGCGAGUGGAAGAAAGGUCCGUUUGGACCGCCUGUGGAUGAGCCUGCGGCUGAUUAGCUAGUUGGCGGGGUAAGAGCCCACCAAGGCGAUGAUCAGUAGCCGGCCUGAGAGGGUGUACGGCCACACUGGAACUGAGACACGGUCCAGACUCCUACGGGAGGCUG